rnacentral:rRNA from 1 species
AUUGAACGCUGGCGGCAGGCCUAACACAUGCAAGUCGAACGGUAACAGGAAGAAGCUUGCUUCUUUGCUGACGAGUGGCGGACGGGUGAGUAAUGUCUGGUAAACUGCCUGAUGGAGGGGGAUAACUACUGGAAACGGUAGCUAAUACCGCAUAACGUCGCAAGACCAAAAAGGGGGACCUUCGGGCCUCUUGCCAUCGGAUGUGCCCAGAUGGGACUAGCUAGUAGGUGGGGUAACGGCUCACCUAGGCGACGAUCCCUAGCUGGUCUGUGAGGAUGACCAGCCACACUGGAACUGAGACACGGUCCAGACUCCUACGGGAGGCAGCAGUGGGGAAUAUUGCACAAUGGGCGCAAGCCUGAUGCAGCCAUGCCGCGUGUAUGAAGAAGGCCUUCGGGUUGUAAAGUACUUUCAGCGGGGAGGAAGGGAGUAAAGUUAAUACCCUUGCUCAUUGACGUUACCCGCAGAAGAAGCACCGGCUAGCUCCGUG